UACGAAGGGGGGCUAGCGUUGUUCGGAAUCACUGGGCGUAAAGCGCACGUAGGCGGAUGUGUCAGUCAGGGGUGAAAUCCCGGGGCUCAACCUCGGAACUGCCUUUGAUACAGCACGUCUCGAGUCCGGAAGAGGAGAGUGGAAUUCCCGGUGUAGCGGUGAAAUGCGCAGAUAUCGGGAAGAACACCCGUGGCGAAGGCGGCUCUCUGGGACGGUACUGGACGCUGAGACGCGAAAGCGUGGGGGAGCGAACAGG
rnacentral:rRNA from 1 species